rnacentral:rRNA from 1 species
UACGAAGGGGGCUAGCGUUGCUCGGAAUUACUGGGCGUAAAGCGUGCGCAGGCGGUUUUGUAAGUCUGUCGUGAAAUCCCCCGGGCUCAACCUGGGAAUUGCGAUGGAGACUGCAAGGCUGGAGUCUGGCAGAGGGGGGUAGAAUUCCACGUGUAGCAGUGAAAUGCGUAGAGAUGUGGAGGAACACCGAUGGCGAAGGCAGCCCCCUGGGUCAAGACUGACGCUCAUGCACGAAAGCGUGGGGAGCAAACAGG